rnacentral:tRNA from 1 species
GGCUCGGUAGCUUAGUUGGUAAAGCGCUCGUCUAGCAUACAAGAGUCAUGGGUUCAAACCCCAGCCGAGCAG